CUUUACAAGUCCCAAUGUUAUACCGGUUAAACUCCGCCAUUUUGCCUCUUAGUGCUCGUGCUUGAGCCCGCUUGCCCAACUCCUGAGAUCUCAUCGGGAAGCUGCUGAUCAGCAAUUACAACAAGCAGUCACCGUCUAUGAACUAGAAAGCUGAUUCACCAGACACUGAAUCUGCCAGCACCUUGGUCUUGGACUUCCCAGCCUCCAGAACUAGGAAAUGUUUCAACACAUCUGAGGAAACACAUGCCUUCCCAAACUGGCCUGAUGCUGUUUCCCAGGAGCUGCAUUCUGGAAGGUGGACCAUCAGGUGGAAGAAGUAUUCUUCAGAGAGCUGCCUUCCCAAGGGAAUGGUGACAGCUUGCGCUUGCCGGGGAGUCCUGCUGCCUUCCGAGGUGUGAAGGGAAGGCAUGCACUGUGCAUAUGCUGUACCAUACAGUUUUGCCUACAACGGCUUGUAGCUUCAUUGUAGCUGUGAAUGCUCUGUUCCUCUCCUUUUCACCCCUGAAGAUUCGCGAACAUGCAGGAUUGAGCUGUGUGAGGCAUAGCAUUCCCCACAUGGUAGGCGAA
rnacentral:lncRNA from 1 species